CAGCCGCCACGGUAAUACGUAGGGUGCAAGCGUUAAUCGGAAUUACUGGGCGUAAAGCGUGCGCAGGCGGUUAUAUAAGACAGAUGUGAAAUCCCCGGGCUCAACCUGGGAACUGCAUUUGUGACUGUAUAGCUAGAGUACGGCAGAGGGGGAUGGAAUUCCGCGUGUAGCAGUGAAAUGCGUAGAUAUGCGGAGGAACACCGAUGGCGAAGGCAAUCCCCUGGGCCUGUACUGACGCUCAUGCACGAAAGCGUGGGGAGCAAACAGGAUUAGAGACCCGAGUAGUCCCUGUCUCUUAUAC
rnacentral:rRNA from 1 species